UAUAUUCCUUCUCAAAGUUUAUUUUUGGUGUUGAUCAGACCCAAAUGGCAUUUUGCCUCUUUACUCAUUAGAACAUGUAACGAACAGAGAUGUGAACCAUGGACCAAAUAAUAACCGCUGAUUUUUAUGGUGUUCACGGUGGUGUUAGAUCAAAAAGUAACCAACAGAGCAAAAACAAUCAGAAGAUGGUUAUAGACAGUCGCAUCCCUCAACGGCAAGAAUGCCGGAGACGGAGAUACAAUAACAGAAAUGCAAAGGUCGCCGGAAUAAAUCUCUGGCCAUGUUCCAACGAGUUUUCAGCCAAAGCCCCGUGAGAUUCGAGUCUGUUUCAUGAACUGUAAGGAUGUAAAACAAGAAGCAGAAGAUUAGGCAAAGAUGUAAGUCCAUAUCUGUCGUUUUCAUGGAGUUUGCCGGAUAACAUAUACGUGACCUGAAAAUUCUUUUUUGCUCGGAUCUGGUUAGAUCUGGAUUUAUAUACAGCUUAUCUACUAAUUAAAAGACGAAAAACGGAGGAAACAUGGUCGCCGGAGUUCGUUUUGUUCCAGCCAUAUAUGAAAAUACCAGUUAGCAAACAAGACUACAUUGCGAGGGUGGCCAUUUGCAUCCAUUUCCUGUGAGCUCUCGACUCCGGUUGUCACCUGAAAAAUUCUUUUUAGUAAUGUUUCUUUCAUUUUCUUUUGAUCUCACUUAUUUUGAAACUUUAUGCUGGGUGGAAUGCGUGUAUAUGUCUGUGAUCAUGAAACAUCGCCUUCAGGUCUGUUUCUAUAUAUUUAUGCCUUUAAAUUGCGUAAGGAGCUGCAAUUCUAUAUAAACGAAUUAGCUGAGCAAUCGCUUUUUAUGGUGAAAAUUGAUUUAGCCUCUAUUCUCCUGUUUUUUUGUCCUUUGAAUGGAUUUACCUGCAUAUGGUUAUUUUAUUGCUUAGUGUUUGGCUUCUUGGACUUUGCAUAUGCACUUUUAUUUUAAGUCAUUGUAAAGCACUGAUAUCCUCUCAUUGUGUCUUGUCUAGUACAUGGUUGGCAUAUCUUAGAGAUAUCUCGCUAUCUUGAGUCUUGAUGAUUCAAGCAAUUUGAAUGUCUUUCUCUUUUUUUCUCCUUUUAAGAUUAUAAAUUCUAUGCUUUCCUCAUUUUACUAUUUUCUUCAAGGCUAGAUUGCUGCCUUCAUCAAUCUGGAUUGAAUUAUGUUUCACAAAAUGUUGUAUAUGCAAAGGAGCAGCUUAUUAAGAUAAACCAGCAAAACAUAUUGAUUAGGUCUCUCAUGCUUAAGAAGCAGAGGGGUGAUUAUAGUUCAAAAGAUGGCAAGGGGAUUUCCUCAAAUGACAAUGGUAGAAAAAGGACUGCUGAAAAAGCAUUGGAUAGUAGGGCAUCAAGCAAGAAGGCUACUACCAGUAACCAAGUUGCCUCUUGCCAAGGUGAGCCCAUUAUUAAUCAUCAUUUAUGGUCUUUGUAGGUGGUACGAUCAAAAAUAUUGUUAAACGAAGUGGUCUUUCAUAAAAAAUAUACUUCAAUUAUUGUGGUUCAUAAUUCUAUUGCUAAAUUGAAAAAGAAUAAAGCAGGUGGGUAUCCCUUAGCUCUCUAUUACGUCAUCUGUUUAAAUUGUCAAAUUUGACUUCUAAUUUAUAACUGAAAACUUUCAUUGCAUUGUUUGAGUAUCAGCGGUAAUACUUUUGGGUCCACAAAGUGAGAACAUUAGUAUUAUAUGCAAACAUACCCUUCAUUUUAUGAGACCAUUUGAUUGGGCACAAAGGAAUUUAAAGAUAUUACUUGCAACCAAUAAUGUGGCGUAGUGGUCAAUAAAGUGAGUUAAAAACUAUGAGGUCUUAGGUACAAAGAGGAGGUAUAAACACUAGGUGAUUUCUUUCCAUUCGUUUAAGCCUUGGUGGACAAAGUUACCCGGUGCUUAUGCUGGUGGGAGGUAGCAGGCACCCGGUGAAACAGACUCGAAUCUCACCGGGUAGCAGUGGGUAAAGUGGGCGACGGAAUAUGGUGAAGAAAGAAGAGGCGAAAGCAGGGAUGAGGAGAAGCAGCCACGACAGGAUCCAAAAAGUAAGUUUCUUUCUCUAUCUUUAAUGUUUGAUUUUGUGGGUGUUGGAUUGAUGAAAAUUGCUAUUACUUUAUUAAUAAAAAAAUCUCCAUACUGUACAAUUCUCACCCGUAAGAAAUUUGGAAGCAAAGAAGCACGAUUCCAUCAUCUCAAAUUCAAAAAGUAAGUUUUUUUCUCUAUCUUUAAUGUUUGAUUGUGUGGGUGUUGGGUUGAUGAAAAUUGCUAAUUAUUUUGGGUCUAGAAAUUACCUAAAAGACUACAAAAAGUUAGAAAUAACCUUAAUUGAAAAAUCUCAUACUACACAAAUUUCAUUUGCAAGUUGUCCGAAACCAAAAUCGUCGGCCACCAUCACAACCAAAAAAGUCAGUAAGUUUCUCUUUCUAUCUUUAGUGUUUGAUUGUGUAUGUGUUGGGUUGAUGAAAAUUGCUAAUUGGUUAGGUCUAUGGCUUCGAUUGUCAAUGUUCAAUUUACUGAAUGAGUAAAAUCUUUUUAUCUGUUCUAAUUUGGUAUUGAAGAAUCAUGGCAUUAGUUUUGAAUUAAACAAACUAUUAACUUUUCUAGCAUAUUUUUUUUAUAUGCAUUAUUCUUAUAGUUGUUUAACUUUAUUUUUCCUAUAUUCUAGAUCUGCACCUACAUAUUAGCGUUGAUCUAAUCAUUUUGUUGCUGGUUUGAUUGUAAAUAUCUCUUAAUAAAUAUUUCAUGGAUAUGCCAACUAAUUUGCUAGUCUCUUUCUGCAGCGUAAUGCUGAAGUAUCUGGUGCUAGGAUUCUUGAUGUGAUCAAAUGAUUCAGAACUUUUUCACUUUAGGUCAUAUGCUCAAAAAUUUCGCAUGUUGAAGAUUUCAAUAUGAUAAAGAGUUGCCGAAGCUAUUUGAAGAUAUUAUUUGAUAGGAUUAGUUAUAUGAGUUCAAUCACUAUAAGUUUAUUUAAAAAGUUGUGACAUUA